rnacentral:rRNA from 1 species
UACGGAGGGUGCAAGCGUUAUCCGGAUUCACUGGGUUUAAAGGGUGCGUAGGUGGGCAGGUAAGUCCGUGGUGAAAUCUCUGAGCUUAACUCAGAAACUGCCGUGGAUACUAUUUGUCUUGAAUAUUGUGGAGGUGAGCGGAAUAUGUCAUGUAGCGGUGAAAUGCUUAGAUAUGACAUAGAACACCAAUUGCGAAGGCAGCUCACUACACAAUUAUUGACGCUGAGGCACGAAAGCGUGGGGAGCAAACAGG